UGGGGAAUUUUGGACAAUGGGCGAAAGCCUGAUCCAGCAAUGCCGCGUGUGUGAAGAAGGCCUUCGGGUUGUAAAGCACUUUUGUCCGGAAAGAAAUCCUUGGCUCUAAUACAGUCGGGGGAUGACGGUACCGGAAGAAUAAGCACCGGCUAACUACGUGCCAGCAGCCGCGGUAAUACGUAGGGUGCAAGCGUUAAUCGGAAUUACUGGGCGUAAAGCGUGCGCAGGCGGUUUGCUAAGACCGAUGUGAAAUCCCCGGGCUCAACCUGGGAACUGCAUUGGUGACUGGCAGGCUAGAGUAUGGCAGAGGGGGGUAGAAUUCCACGUGUAGCAGUGAAUGCGUAGAGAUGUGGAGGAAUACCGAUGGCGAAGGCAGCCCCCUGGGCCAAUACUGACGCUCAUGCACGAAAGCGUGGGGAGCAAACAGGAUUAGAUACCCUGGUAGUCCACGCCCUAAACGAUGUCACUAGUUGUUGGGGAUUCAUUUCCUUAGUAACGUAGCUAACGCGUGAAGUUGACCGCCUGGGGAGUACGGUCGCAAGAUUAAAACUCAAAUGAAUUGACGGGG
rnacentral:rRNA from 1 species